GACGAACGCUGGCGGCGUGCCUAAUACAUGCAAGUAGAACGCACAGUUUAUACCGUAGCUUGCUACACCAUAGACUGUGAGUUGCGAACGGGUGAGUAACGCGUAGGUAACCUGCCUGGUAGCGGGGGAUAACUAUUGGAAACGAUAGCUAAUACCGCAUAAUAUUAAUUAUUGCAUGAUAAUUAAUUGAAAGGUGCAAUUGCACCACUACCAGAUGGACCUGCGUUGUAUUAGCUAGUAGGUGAGGUAACGGCUCACCUAGGCGACGAUACAUAGCCGACCUGGGAGGGGGAUCGGCCACACUGGGACUGAGACAAGGCCCAGACUCCUACGGGAGGCAGCAGUAGGGAAUCUUCGGCAAUGGACGAAAGUCUGACCGAGCAACGCCGCGGGAGUGAAGAAGGUUUUCGGAUCGUAAAGCUCUGUUGUAAGAGAAGAACGGGUGUGAGAGUGGAAAGUUCACACUGUGACGGUAUCUUACCAGAAAGGGACGGCUAACUACGUG
rnacentral:rRNA from 1 species